rnacentral:tRNA from 1 species
GGUGGUAUAGCUUGGUGGUAGAGCAUAUAUGCUUGGCACGCACGAGGUCCUGGCUUCAAUCUCCAGUUCCUCCA